AUUGAACGCUGGCGGCAGGCCUAACACAUGCAAGUCGCACGAGUGGCGGACGGGUGAGUAAUGUCUGGGAAACUGCCCGAUGGAGGGGGAUAACUAAUGGAAACGGUAGCUAAUACCGCAUACCAUCGGAUGUGCCCAGAUGGGAUGAGCUAGUAGGUGGGGUAACGGCUCACCUAGGCGACGAUCCCUAGCUGGUCUGAGAGGAUGACCAGCCAAACGGGAACUGAGACACGGUCCAGACUCCUACGGGAGGGAGCAGUGGGGAAGAUUGCACAAUGGGCGCAAGCCUGAUGCAGCCAUGCCGCGUGUAUGAAGAAGGCCUGCGGGUUGUAAAGUAAUUUCAGCGAGGAGGAGUUACUCGCAGAAGAAGCACCGGCUAACUACGUGCCAGCAGCCGCGGUAAUAC
rnacentral:rRNA from 1 species